rnacentral:rRNA from 1 species
AUGAUUAUUUAUGUUAAAGAUGAUAUUUAUGCUUCUGAUUUUUUCGCCACUCUUUUACCUACCAAAUGGACAUUUUGUCCACUCUUCUGCAUGGUUAUAUUUUCUCAAUACCGAAAGUCUACGGUAAUAACCAAUACACACCUAGUGAUACUGUUUAGUUCUUUGUUGAACUUUUUCGUUAAUCCUUAUGUCUUCUUGUUUUCAUCCUACUUGGAACAGAUGAACACAGAGGAGGAUGUGCAAGAGAAGAUGAAGCCUUAUCUACAGAUGUAUAAGAAAUCGUUUACGCCGGCGGCUGUCCAGGCAAUUCGUGCCUUGGUGGAGGUCAAUGUUUGA